rnacentral:rRNA from 1 species
GACGGAGGGUGCAAGCGUUGUUCGGAAUUACUGGGCGUAAAGCGCGGGCAGGUGGCCUUUUAAGUCCUUUGUGAAAUUCCGGAGCUCAACUCCGGACAUGCAUAGGAUACUGGAAGGCUAGAGACUGGUAGAGGCGAGCGGAAUUCCUGGUGUAGCGGUGGAAUGCGUAGAUAUCAGGAAGAACACCGGUGGCGAAGGCGGCUCGCUGGGCGUGAUCUGACGCUGAGGCGCGAAAGCGUGGGGAGCGAACAGG